UACGAAGGGGGCUAGCGUUGUUCGGAAUUACUGGGCGUAAAGGGCGCGUAGGCGGCGUGUCAAGUCAGGCGUGAAAGCCCCGGGCUCAACCUGGGAACCGCGCUUGAGACUGGCAUGCUCGAGUUCGGGAGAGGAUGGUGGAAUUCCCAGUGUAGAGGUGAAAUUCGUAGAUAUUGGGAAGAACACCGGAUGGCGAAGGCAGCCAUCUGGACCGACACUGACGCUGAGGCGGACGAAAGCGUGGGGAGCAAACAGG
rnacentral:rRNA from 1 species